rnacentral:misc_RNA from 1 species
AAGUCGUAACAAGGUUUCCGUAGGUGAACCUGCGGAAGGAUCAUUAACGUAUCUCUGGCGGUGAGGGUGCGCCCUGCUCCGGCCCCAGCGGCCGUGCAGCGGGUGUCCCGAGCCUGCCCAACCUUUGCAAACCCACUGUGCACUCAUGUCGGCAGAGGGCCCCCACGCAGUUGGGGGCUCCGAGCCGGAUCACAAACUACCAAAUUCAAAAGUAUGACAAGCGGACAGUGUUCUGCCUAAAAUCAAUAACAACUUUCAACAACGGAUCUCUUGGCUCUC